AGGCUCCCGGGCGCUCACGCCCCGCUCUACCUGCCUCCUGCAGUUCGGGGGCCCGAAGGCACCGAGCAGAACCGCGUGCGCAACAAACUAAAGCGGCUCAUCGCGAAGAGACCGCCCUUACAAAGCCUGCAGGAGCGGGGUCUGCUCCGAGGUGAGGGGGCUGGGCCAGGUUCAUGGAUAAGAAAACUCCAGCGAGGCUCAGAGUAGAGCUUCCCAGAACUAGACCACAACCUUCUGUGACUGCUGCUUUCCCACUACCCCAGAUUGUUUAGGGGAGAAGCUGGGGUGACCUGUACCCCUUUGCCAGAUUGUUUGAAGCAGGGGAAGGGAGGUGGAGUGUAUUUCCUUGCCCAGGCCUGGCACAGGCAGCCAGGAGGACCAGCCUCACUUAAGGAUAAAGGCCUAUGCUGAGAAGAGCUCCUGUGAGUGACGCUGGCACUGGCUUCCCGCCUCACUCUACUUCCCCAGACCAGGUGUUCGGCUGCCAAUUGGAAUCACUCUGCCAGCGGGAAGGAGACACGGUGCCCAGCUUUGUGCGGCUCUGCAUUGCUGCUGUGGAUAAAAGAGGUCAUUUUCUCAGAGACCCCAGAAUCCUCUUCCAACAGGCUAAGGCCUAGAAUUUUCUGCCUCCCCCGUUCUACCUAGUCUUCCUACUGCCCUUUUUCUCUCCACCCUUAUAUCCCUCACCACACACACUUUCAAGUAGCAGUCCUUAUCUACUCCUUCCUCAUCUCCCAGGUCUAGAUGUGGAUGGCAUUUAUCGGGUGAGCGGGAACUUGGCAGUGGUCCAGAAGCUUCGCUUUCUGGUGGACAGAGAGCGUGCGGUCACCUCCGAUGGGAGGUAUGUGUUCCCAGAACAGCCAGGACAAGGUACUUACAUGGAAGACCCUUCAGAUCCCUAAAACUUCCACAUAUCCUCUUUGCUUCCUGUGGAAACCCCCAUGUACUAUUCCUGGGAGGGUUGUCCUCAUCCCCACCUUAGCUACCUUGCCCCACUGCAGACCCUCUAGGCAUUCCUAUAGUCUGCUUUGACUGGAUUUCUCCAGAACUUCUAAUCUCUCAGUCUCUAAAUCUUUCUGGCCCUUCAUGAGCCCCUAUACCUCCUUCUCCCUCCAGAAGGUCGGUUAGAUUUGGACAGUACUGAGUGGGAUGACAUUCAUGUGGUCACCGGAGCCCUGAAGCUUUUUCUCCGGGAGCUGCCCCAGCCUCUGGUGCCACCACUGCUGCUGCCCCAUUUCCGUGCUGCCCUUGGGUGAUAGCACACUCAGAUAAGAAUCGCAUGACACCCCACAACCUGGGAAUUGUGUUUGGACCAACCCUGUUUCGGCCAGAGCAGGAGACAUCUGACCCAGCAGCCCAUGCUCUCUACCCAGGGCAGCUGGUCCAGCUGAUGCUCACCAACUUCACCAGCCUCUUCCCCUGAUGCAGGGAAGGAAGAAGAGAAAACAUAUUUCCGGUCAUCUCUGGUGGUGAGAGGCUGGUGUUCUGUUUUGAGGAUAUCCCUUUAAAUCUCCCAAAUGACUGUCUCUAUCUUCAUGAGUGUGACUUGAGGUGUUGGGAUGGGUGAGGGAGCUUCUCUAAAGAGGAAAGUGAGUGGAUUAACCCCUGCUUCUCUUCUUGUUCCCUGUUAUCAUUCCUCCCCAACAUAAUAAUAAAG
rnacentral:lncRNA from 1 species